AGUGAACGCUGGCGGCAGGCCUAACACAUGCAAGUCGAACGGUAGCACAGUAAGAGCUUGCUCUUACGGGUGGCGAGUGGCGGACGGGUGAGGAAUACAUCGGAAUCUAUUUUUUCGUGGGGGUUAACGUAGGGAAACCUACGAUAAUACCGCAUACGACCUACGGGUGAAAGCAGGGGAUAUUCGGAACUUGUGCGAUUGAAUGAGCCGAUGUCGGAUUUGCUAGUUGGCGGGGUAAAGGCCCACCAAGGGGACGAUCCGUAGCUGGUCUGAGAGGAUGAUCAGCCACACUGGAACUGAGACACGGUCCGAACCCCUACGGGAGGCAGCAGUGGGGAAUAUUGGACAAUGGGCGCAAGCCUGAUCCAGCCAUACCGCGUGGGUGAAGAAGGCCUUCGGGUGGUAAAGCCCUUUUGUUGGGAAGGAAGAGCAUCAGGUUAAUACCCCGCUGUUCUGACGGUACCCAAAGAAUAAGCACCGGCUAACUACGUG
rnacentral:rRNA from 1 species